AACAGCCGCGGUAAUUCCAGCUCCAAUAGCGUAUAUUAAAGUUGUUGCAGUUAAAAAGCUCGUAGUUGAAUUUCGGGAUCAAUUCGUCGGUCGUGCUUUUUGGUACGUACUGGCGUUAUUGGUUUCUCCCUUCUGACGAGCCAUGAUGUCAUUAAUUUGGUGUUAUGGGGAGUUAGGACUGUUACUUUGAAAAAAUUAGAGUGUUUAAAGCAGGCGUUAGCUUGAAUACAUUAGCAUGGAAUAAUGAAAUAGGACGUUCGAUCCUAUUUUGUUGGUUUCUAGGAUCAACGUAAUGAUUAAUAGGGAUAGUUGGGGGCAUUAGUAUUCAAUUGUCAGAAGGUGAAAUUCUUGGAUUUAUUGAAGACUAACUACUGCGAAAGCAUUUGCCAAGGAUGUUUUCAUUAAUCAAGAACGAAAGUUAGGGGAUCGAAGACGAUCAGAUACCGUCGUAGUCUUAACCAUAAACUAUGCCGACUAGGGAUCGGAUGAUGUUAAUUUUUUAAUGACUCA
rnacentral:rRNA from 1 species